AUUGAACGCUGGCGGCAGGCCUAACACAUGCAAGUCGAACGAGUGGCGGACGGGUGAGUAAUGUCCGGGAAACUCCCUGAUGGAGGGGGAUAACUACUGGAAACGGUAGCUAAUAACGCAUACCAUCAGAUGUGCCCAGAUGGGAUUAGCUGUUUGGUGGGGUAACGGGCCACCAAGGAGACGAUCCCUAGCUGGUCUGAGAGGAUGACCAGCCCCACUGGAACUGAGACCCGGUCCAGACUCCUACGGUGGGCCACAGUGGGGAAUAUUGCACAAUGGGCGCAAGCCUGGUGCAGCCAUGCCGCUGUUAGGAAGAGGGCCUUCGGGUGGUAAAGUACUUUCAGCGGGGGUGCGUUACCCGCAGAAGAAGCACCGGCUAACUCCGUGCCAGCCGCCGCGGUAAUUC
rnacentral:rRNA from 1 species